AAUUGUGGAGUGAUUGAUUAAAACCCCAUUUGAUUUUGAUGAGCUCAAAGCAUUUGAGUAUAUCUUUUGAUUACUAAUGAAUUCAAUUGAGUGUUUCAGUGAAAAUCCUGUCUAAGUGUCCCAAGACUUGGUUCAUAAUUUUUGGAUAAGUUAAGGAGUCUGUUUGAACCAAUGUCUGAGACUCAAGUCGACUCCUGAGUAUCACGAGUCGACUCCAAGCGUAUCAAGUUCACUGGCACGAGCUCGAGUCGACUCCAGAUAAGUACGAGUCGACUCCGACUGAGAAUAGACAGAAGGACAGAAAGCUUCAACUCAGAACCUGUCAGCGAGUCGACUCCCGAAGUGCGCGAGUCGACUCCGAUGUUCACCGAGUCGACUCCAAGGAAGUAAGAGUCGACUCCAAGCAGUCACAGGCAGAAAAGUCAGAGAACAGUUUUCGGGUCUGAGAUUCGAGUCGACUCCAGUGGAACGCGAGUUGACUCCGAUAGGUGGCAAGUCGACUCCAAAGAAAGCAUGAANNNNNNNNNNNNNNNNNNNNUCGUAGUCAUGCGGUUGAGUUAUUUUGAGUCUCGGAUUUGGUUUACAGAUUAUUGUGUGGAUUUUUGGAUUUAUGUGUUUAGCUGCUUUUAUAUGCAUUAUGACAUGUUAUAUGAUGACUUUAUUGCAUGAUGUCGCCUACUGAGCUGUUAGCUCACUCCUAUCAUUUACAUUUUUGCAGGUGAUGAUAUAUGAUUAUGGGGAUUACGGAAUAGAGUGAUCAUGAUGUAAUUAGCUAGUAGAUAUGGACUUUCUUUUGACUUAUGUAUAUAUGGACAUUUGAAUUGAAAGUUGGAAUUUAUCUUUGUUUAGCUAUUGAUGUGGAAUCUGAUUCAUCUGCCUUGCGUGCCUGCGGGGUUCGCCCUGCAGGUGCGCGGCGUCUGCUCGCGCCCCGGGCCCCGGGUUCGGGGCGUGACAU
rnacentral:lncRNA from 1 species